UAGGGAGGGAAGGGGUGACUAGUUACAGAGUGAGGAAGGGGUGACUAGUGACAGAGGGAGGGGUGACUAGGGACAAAGUGAGGGAGGUGGUGACUAGUGACAGUCACCACCUCCCUCACUCUGUCACUAGUCACCCCCUCCCUCACUCUGUCACUGUGUCACCCCCUCCCUCUGUCACUGGUCACCCACUCCCUCCCUCCCUCUGUCACUGGUCACCCACUCCCUCCCUCACUCUGUCACCAGUCAUCCCCUCACUCUGUCACUAGUAACCCCUUCCUUCCC